GGAUGUGAGGGUGAUCUGGCUGUAGCAUUUGUCACCCAUUGAUUGCCAGGGUUGAUACAGCUGGCUAGGCGGCUGACCCCUUCCUCCCGCACCACCUCCAGUGCGUCCUUCCUGAAGCUGUGUGCUUGGUCAAAGAGGACGAACUUUGGUCUCCGGUCAAGGUUAUAGGAGUAGCGGCGAGAACCUCCAGACAAGCUCCCAAGUCACACAGGGAAAUACAGACCAGCAGAGUUUAACUU
rnacentral:snRNA from 1 species